rnacentral:ncRNA from 1 species
UUUCUGCCCAGCACUCUGAAUGCCUAAGUGAAGAAAUUCACAGAAGCCCAGGUAAAUGAUGGGUGUAACUAUGACUUUCUUCAGGUAGUCAAAUGCUUUGUCAUCUAACCACACGCAUGAAUGCAU